UAAUGUGUUGUGACUAUAUUAUAGAGGCUUCUCACCUGAGCCGCCGUCCCAGGGGCCUGGCAUGUCUCGUCCUAGUGCCAAAUCCAUCUACAUGCAAAGGAAGGAGUAUGCAGAAUCAAUCCGCAGACAGCAAGACAACUUUCAGUACAGAGUAGAGCACCUGUUCACCUGUGUGUUAGAUGGCAGAGAGGUGAGCAGCAUUGAUGACUGUGUGAACAGGUUGAAGAAUAUGGACAGUAAAGGGAAAGUGUGGGGUCAGGACAUGAUCAUGCAGGUCCA